rnacentral:rRNA from 1 species
UGACCUUACCUUUAACCGUUGCUUCGGCGGGCGGGCCCUGCGCCCCCCGGGCCCCCCUCGCGGGGGGCGCCCGCCGGAGGUCUCCCAAACUCUUGAUACCAUGUGGCCUCUCUGAGUAUUCUGUACUGAAUAAGUCAAAACUUUCAACAACGGAUCUCUUGGUUCUGGCAUCGAUGAAGAACGCAGCGAAAUGCGAUAAGUAAUGUGAAUUGCAGAAUUCAGUGAAUCAUCGAAUCUUUGAACGCACAUUGCGCCCGCCAGUAUUCUGGCGGGCAUGCCUGUCCGAGCGUCAUUUCAACCAUCAAGCCCCCGGGCUUGUGUUGGGGACCUGCGGCUGCCCGCAGGCCCUGAAAACCAGUGGCGGGCUCGCUGUCACACCGAGCGUAGUAGCAAUCACCUCGCUCAGGGCGUGCUGCGGGUUCCGGCCGUUAAACAGCCUUACAAAACCCAAGGUUGACCUCGGAUCAGGUAGGAAGACCCGCUGAACUUAAGCAUAUCA